rnacentral:rRNA from 1 species
GGGUCAGUAGGUUGGUCGUGCCACCGGUACGUACUGGUCUCACUGAUUCCUCCUUCCUGAAUAACCGUAAUGCCAUUAAUUUGGUGUUGCAGGGAAACAGGACUGUUACUUUGAAAAAAUUAGAGUGUUUAAAGCAAGCUAACGCUUGAAUACAUUAGCAUGGAAUAAUGAAAUAGGACGAUCGAUCCUAUUUUGUUGGUUUCUAGGAUUGACGUA